rnacentral:rRNA from 1 species
GACGGGGGAUGCAAGCGUUAUCCGGAAUCACUGGGCGUAAAGCGUCUGUAGGUGGUGAUGCAAGUCACUGGUGCAAAACUCUGGCUCAACCGGAGGAAAGCCAGUGAAACUGCAUGACUAGAGUGUGAGAGUGGUAGAAGGAAUUCGCAGAGUAGCGGUGAAAUGCGUAGAUACAGGGAAGAAAAACGGAGAAGAAAGCGUUCUAUUGGAACACAACUGACACUGAUACACGAAAUCUAGUGGAGCGAAUGGG